CACGUAGGGCGCGAGCGUUGUCCGGAAUUAUUGGGCGUAAAGAGCUCGUAGGCGGUUUGUUGCGUCGGCUGUGAAAUCCCGAGGCUCAACCUCGGGUCUGCAGUCGAUACGAGCAAACUAGAGUGUUGCAGGGGAGACUGGAAUUCCUGGUGUAGCGGUGAAAUGCGCAGAUAUCAGGAGGAACACCGGUGGCGAAGGCGGGUCUCUGGGCAACAACUGACGCUGAGGAGCGAAAGCGUGGGGAGCGAACAGG
rnacentral:rRNA from 1 species